CUUCGACUGGCCGGAUUCGAAUGCCUGGUGGGUCAAGCCCUGUUUCAUUGUCCAGAGACAGGUGCUCCAACCAGCAUAAUGGUCUGGAAGUUUGAAUUCAAAUUCUCAAAUGGGUACUUCAAGUAUCAAUCCAAAAGCUUCAGAAAUGUAAAAUUCAUCUGGAAUUCGCUAACCUUUUCAAUGUUUCAGUGAAACUCCCACCCCACAGGCGCUUUCGAAACAGUCCCUUGGCGCAGGGCUUGCCAUCCCAGAGCUCCAGCCCGCCGGUGACAAUGCCGGGCACUAAAACGACUGGGUGAAGACCUGAUACGCCAUCUCGCUUUAAAACAGCCCCCGGAGAGUCAAUCGCUGGAAAGCCAGCAUUUUCUUCACAUAUGCAACAACAACAUUAGGUUUAUCCUCUGAUUUAUGUGCAUCAUCAAUGGUUUGGAUCCCCAUAGAAGAAUUCUUAACAGGGUUGACAUAGUAUAAUUUGCGGAGACGAAGAACAGAGGCCAUGGGUUAAGGAGUGAAGAAGUUGAGAUCAAGAAAAUCAAAGAAGAACGAGGAGAACCCAUGACUUAGGGGGGAUUUUAAAACAGAAAAAGGUUAAAACAAGCUGUCAAAAAAGCAAUACACGUGGUGAAACGAAAGGGACAAGAGGGAGUAAAUGGCCUGGUGGCCAUGGGUAGCUGAAGGUGUGCAGUCGGAACAAAACAGGGGGUGUGAAAGGAAAGAGAAAAGGAAGAGGCUUCUCUUGUGCAACUCAUUAUGAGAAUGAAAAAGGAAAAGGGUUGUGCGAAUUGCUGAGGAAAUGGGAAUGGAGAAUCCAAAGUAACACAUUUUGUAUCAUCAAAAUGACACUUAGCUCUGUUUCUGCAUGGGAGCUUCGUCAGGUGUCGUCCCCCCUGGGCCUCUGUCUUCACUGCAUAUUAUAGCUUUUGAAUAACACUCUUUUUCGAUUGUUUAUCGCUAAUGUGUCAAUGGGAAGGAACUUUCUUUCUUUUCUUUUUAAGUUUUUGGUAUAUUUAUGUGGGCGUUAAAAGCUAUACAAGCUAACAAACAGGGCUGAGAAUAAAUGGGUAAGACGGGGUCGAUUGGAAGAUUC